rnacentral:lncRNA from 1 species
AUGUUUCAUGUUCACCAAGGACUGUCAAAUACUUUGGAGAAGAACCUGAAGAAUGCCACUUUGUUUUCCUUUCAUUCUUUUCUUAUGAACAAGCAAAGGCAAAAAAAGCUACAGAGUUUGUAUUGUGAGCAACAGAAGAUGCCAACAGCUUUUCUGAAAAUGGCCUCCCAGCACCAUGUGCAGCUGUGUGACGAUGUAGAGAGCCAGGAUUAUCAGAAGUGAAUAAUGAUUCUGUUACCCAAAUGAAACCUCUCCAUGUGUCAGACAGCAGGUAGAGUCAUAUCUUUAGCAUCAAUAUCUAAACACUUUGGAAAGAGCAUAAUUAACAUUUUUGGAAAAUCUUAUCAUUUAGGACAAGAGCUGCUGUUAGGCAAUGGUAAAGCCACUCACUG